GGGGUUGUGGCUCAGUGGUAGAGUGCUUGCCUCACACAUGGGGCACUGGGUUCGAUCCUCAGCACCACA
rnacentral:tRNA from 1 species